GGCAUCGACAUCGCGACGCAACAACUGAGCGGCGCGAUGACCAGGAGUACCUGCAAAGUGCGGCGCGAGACCCCCAGCGGGCGUGGCGACCACGAAAUCGCUGGUGUACCCAUCGCAAUGUGCGCUGUCGCAGGCGCCCUUCUUUUCAGCAGCAAGGCCAACGGCAGCAUGGUCGACACGCAGAACACGCCGAUGCCGACGUAAGUAUGGCGCCAGCCGGCGGUUUCGAUGAAAUGCUGAACGAUCGGCGGCCAGAUCGUACCCGCGAGGUAGUUGCCGCUGGCGAAGAUCGCGACCGCGAUGCCGCGACGGCGCGUAAACCACAGAGAAGUGUCGGCGAGCAACGGCGCAAACGUCGCGGAGCUGCCUGCGCCGAUCAGCAGCCCUUGUGCCAGCGUGAACUGCCAGAGACUGCUGGCCGAGCCCGCCAGGACGUAGCCGAGCGCCAGCGCGAUCGUUCCGCCCAUGACCGGAACCAUGAUCCCGAAGCGGUCUGAAAGCCGGCCCAUGAGAAUGCCACUUAGCCCGUAACCGAUCAUGGUGAGCGUGUACGGCAGCGACGCAUCGGCGCGCGCGACGCCGAAUUCCGCCUGCACCGGCGGCAGCGCCACAACCACCGACCACAUACCCACGCCGCCGACGGUGGACAGCAGCAAGGCCAGCACCAGGCGCGUCCAGGCGUACGCGGCCUCGGCCUCGCCGCCGGUCUCCGCACUGUGGUUGUUGUUUGUGCCGGCUGCCCGCCGGCCGGUGCCUGACUGGGUCAUGCGCUCACCGCGAUACGGCCUCCUCUGCCGGCCGCGAUUGUGCCAUGAUGAUCUCUCGGAGUCCUGUCUGGCCCUCCAAAGAACCUUGCGGCUGCGCUAAAUUGACGAUGUCAUUUCGUGGUGCGGAGGCGGGACUGCGCCCGGCUGCGAUGAGCUGAACGUCGGGAUUGUCGGCAAGGGCCCGACAAAUGCGGGCGG
rnacentral:misc_RNA from 1 species